GACGAACGCUGGCGGCGUGCUUAACACAUGCAAGUCGAACGGAAGGGCCCUGCUUUUGUGGGGUGCUCGAGUGGCGAACGGGUGAGUAACACGUGAGUAACCUGCCCUUGACUUUGGGAUAACUUCAGGAAACUAGGGCUAAUACCGGAUAGGAGCUCCUGCUGCAUGGUGGGGGUUGGAAAGUUUCGGCGGUUGGGGAUGGACUCGCGGCUUAUCAGCUUGUUGGUGGGGUAGUGGCUUACCAAGGCUUUGACGGGUAGCCGGCCUGAGAGGGUGACCGGCCACAUUGGGACUGAGAUACGGCCCAGACUCCUACGGGAGGCAGCAGUGGGGAAUAUUGCACAAUGGGCGGAAGCCUGAUGCAGCAACGCCGCGUGCGGGAUGACGGCCUUCGGGUUGUAAACCGCUUUCGCCUGUGACGAAGCGUGAGUGACGGUAAUGGGUAAAGAAGCACCGGCUAACUACG
rnacentral:rRNA from 1 species